AAGAUCAAGGUCGAGGUCCGCCGCGUGCCCUGAAGUGAAGUGCCCUGGCAGUGUUUCUCGUGGAGGAGGAGGAGCCCCUCGGCGUGCAGGCCCCCAGGGCGGUGGCUGAGUGGUUAGCGUGCCGGUCCAGUAUUCACUGCGUCGUGGAUGAUUUGGGUUCGAAUCCGCCGCUACCACCUGGGAUUUUUCAGUCACCGCCGAGUGGCCCAAGACCACCCACAUGCUGUCCUGAAGACCACCCAUCAACGUGGACUCUAAAGGAACUGUCAAAGGGAAAUCAAGAAUGAGCUUCCGGGCGCAGCAUGAGCCAAGAAUAGACGGCGCCAGUAUAAACACUUGCCUGCACCACGUCGGGCUUGGGCCAACCACCACUGUUCCUAUGGCUAUUUAUUACUCACAAAAAAUGGAAAUGUGUACAUUUCAGGAUAAAUAAAAGUGCGAUGAAAGAGAAGGUUUUUGCCUUAGGCCAGUAUUUAUGUUAUGACUACAGUACCCUCUCGAGUUUCGUGCUCGCUUCAUUCCGAAGGUGUAGCGCUAAACUCGAGGGUCGCGAAACUCAAGGUAUUGAAAACACUGAAAAAGCGCUUAUUUGUUCCGACCCGUGGAGUUUUUUUUAUUUUUUUAUGUGGCUUUUGGCGCCGAUAAACUAUCCAUCUGAGCCUAAUGGUCGGCCCCGAGCCUGUCAUGGCGCAGGCAACUGUUUAUAGUGGUGCCAUUAUAAUUGGGUCAUGCUGCCCCCCGGAGCUCACUUUUUUUCCUCCUUUACUCCCUUGUUAUCUCAAAAUACGUACCUUGGAAAAAGAAAGAAAACAGAAAGAGAGAACGGGUCAUUUUAAAGCCACAGAUGAAGCCUUACGAUUGGCUGAGCUCUGAAAACACGCUUGUGAUUCGCUGGGAGUCCAAUGACGUCAUCGCCAGCGCUCACCCAAUCAGCGGCCUCACUGCCUUAUUAACCCGUAGGCUUCGGCUAUGGGAAAGCUGAGAAGUGCCCGAGAAACGACAAAACUACUCUGCAUUUUGAGACUAAGAAAAGAGCAUGGAACGUACAUCAGAGUACUCCUCUCAUAACCAUAAAACCGUUAUAAAUAUUUACUUUUACUCAAACUCCAUUCUUUUUGGGUGAUGUUUGUUACAAAAUAAACAGUCUCGUGAUGCGUGGCAUCUAGCCAAGAGUCGCUUGUUGUGUACUACAGAGAAUUUGCCAAGUGAUCACUGUAUGGAUUGCUAAUUCAGUAUGCCACAACCUUACAGCACCACCUAUGACAAAAAAGCCCACCUCAAGAUCACCCACCCACCACAUUGACCUAGGGCAUUCAUGGUGGGUUGCACUAUGCCACCACCGCCUACAAUUAGCUCGAAUUAGGCGUUUUAUGGCGAGCCCUUUUUAGGGUCCACCGUACCACAGCCACGACUCGUGAAAGCCUAAAAAAGGGUCUGCCCACGUUCUCGGGUUAAGGAGGGCGCCCGGGGGGGUCCCUCCUGGGCACACAGUAUGCCCUAUGGCUUUGAAAUUUUAGUAUGUUGUUUGUUGGUGUAAGUGUAUGACAUUCUGUGAAUUUUGUGAAAUUUGGGUGAAUGUGUAGAGGAGACUCAAACAAAGCAUAAAAUCUUAUUUUUGUUUCACAGACUUUAGUUGAAAAAAAUAUACCAUAGAAACUUUGUGUAUAGAUCUACAUUUAUCAUUUUGUAAUUUUUUUCAUUUUUUGUUCUGGCUUAAAAAAAUUGAAAUUCAUUUUCACUAAUAAUUUUCUCCACUUUUUCUCCUGUUUUCUUUUUACAUUUUUAAAAAAGGUACAAAAUGAGAAAAAUUGCCGUUUAGUUGUAAAUUAUAUUGAUACCUUACAAAAGACUGUCAGACGUUUUGUCGAUUUUGUGAAAUUUUUUGAAGUGUAAAAAAAAAAUUUUCAAGAUUAUGGCUCCUUAAGAUUUUUUUUUCCAUUUCAUGUGUCUUGCCAUUUGUAUUCAUUUGAUUGUCAUGAAAUGUUCACAUAUGAUUGUUUAUACCUUGUUCACUUACUGGGCCGCCAGUGUGCUGAGCAGAUGUUUCACUUGUUGCAUAUUGGUACAUCUGUGGCCCGAAUAGCCCUUUCUAUAAACUUUUACAAACAUGAGUAUAUAAACAAUUUGUGGGUAAAUUUGUAUUUAUUAUGACUGCAGAUGUGUUGCAAUGGUACCAGGUAAUAAGUUCAAAAUGAUAAGGUAAUAAAUAUAUAGCUAUGUAAAGGCAUCCAAAAUACAUUUAAAGUUUGGUGACAUUUUGCUUCCAAAUAUAAGCAUUUCAUUAUGUAACAGUAAUCAACUGUAGAGGCAAAUGCCCCUCAUAUCAAACAACGUAAAAAAAAAAAAAAAAAAAAAAAAUCCUAAUACAUGAAAAUCUUGCUUUUAUAACAAAAAAAUAAUGCUCCAGAUCACUACUUACUAGUACUUGGAAUAUUAGAUUAUCCCAAUGGUUGCUUUAUUAUAGUGUAUUUUACUGAACUGUAGAGGGAAAUACCACUCCGCAAAUAACGUAAAAAAAAAAAAAAUUCCUGAUAAAUUAGAAUUUUGCUCAUAACAGAGAAGAAAAUAAUGUUCCCCAUCCUGCUCUUCAUCUGUUUCUAACUCGUCACUUUCCUCGGAGAGCUCAUCAUCUGGGUCAUCUGAACUGACAAAAAACCUGAAUCAUCUGAAUCACCAAAUGAGGUAUCCGAUCGCCCUCCUUAAAAGACGGUCGGGUUCAUUUCUGUUGAAAAGGAGGGAAAAAAACAUUAUUAAUAGUUUUUUUAUAUACAGCUCAUCAGAAUGUAAGAUAUUGUAUCGACACAAACUCGUAUAAUAAUCAUAAAAACUACACCAAAUAGCAGAACAAGACUAUAUCGUCAGUGCGUCGCUAACUGGUACAUAUAUGCGCCAACCCAUGCCUGGUACAUUGGUGCACCAAUACGCGGCAGAGGGAAAAAAUAUUAGUGGUCCGCGAUAUGGUAUAUAUUUGUACCGUGGAUUUUUACACUAUACUACAGGCUAUCCUCUCUUAAUGAUACAUAACUCCUCUAUCUGCAAAAGUCCAACGGACACUGGCGUGGUGGGCGCCGUGAAAGUUCCGCGGAGCAGGCAAGAGCGCUGAGUUGCCAAACGCGAUUAAUGUGUUAACAGGCCUUAAAACUAUCAAGCUUGCAGCUUUGGUCGCUGGAUAUUGUCCAUUGACGUGUAGUUCUGUCUUAGUAUUGUUACGAAUAUCGCUUCAGAUUUAUUUAGGUUAGUUCAAAAGACAUACAGUAAAACCCCGAUUAUCCGAAAGCGGAUUAUCCGAAAGACCGGAUUAUCUGAAAUUGAUCUGGAUAAUGCAAUUAAAUUUUUUUUUUCUAUACUAAAACGUUAUAAAACAUCAAAAAUAAAUAAAAGUAACUACAUAUGUACUAUAUUAACACAUUUAAAAUUGAUAAGAACAGUUAAAAUGAAUAUGCUUUCUAAUACGUAUUGCCGAAAUAGCUUGUAACGAAUAGAUCGAUGUAUUAGACAAAAAACA